rnacentral:rRNA from 1 species
UACAGAGGUCUCAAGCGUUGUUCGGAUUCAUUGGGCGUAAAGGGUGCGUAGGCGGCGCGGUAAGUCGGGUGUGAAAUCUCGGAGCUUAACUCCGAAACUGCAUUCGAUACUGCCGUGCUUGAGGGUUGCAGAGGAGACUGGAAUUCCCGGUGUAGCGGUGAAAUGUGUAGAGAUCGGGAGGAACACCGGUGGCGAAGGCGGGUCUCUGGGCAAUUCCUGACGCUGAGGCGCGAAAGCGUGGGGAGCAAACGGG